rnacentral:rRNA from 1 species
UUAGUGGCGGAAGGGUUAGUAAUACAUGGGUAACUUGCCUUUACCUUUGGAAUAACAAUUGGAAACGAUCGCUAAUACAUUCUGUGGAGCGGGCAGGCAUCCGGUUUUCAUUAAAGUGGGGGAUCUAAAGACCUUGCGGUUAAAGAGAGGUCCAUGGGAUAUCAGCUUGUUGGUGUGGUAACGGCGCACCAAGGCUAAGACGUCUAGGCGAGUUGAGAGAUUGACCGCCAACACUGGGACUGAGAACUGCCCAGACUCCUACGGGAGGCUGCAGUCGAGAAUCUUUCGCAAUGGGCGAAAGCCUGACGAAGCGACGCCGUGUGGACGAUGAAGGCCUUCGGGUUGUAAAGUUCUUUCGCCUGGGAACAAGAGAAGCUAAUUAAUACUUAGCUAAUUUGAGGGUACCAGGUAAAGAAGCACCGGCUAACUCCGUGCCAGCAGCUGCGGUAAUACGGAGGGUGCAAGCAUUAGUCGGAAUUAUUGGGCGUAAAGAGCGCGUAGGCGGAAAUGUCAGUCAGAUGUGAAAUCCCGCAGCUCAACUGCGGAACUGCAUUUGAAACUGCAUUCCUUGAGGGUAGGCGGAGAAGACGGAAUUCCACAUGUAGCGGUGAAAUGCGUAGAUAUGUGGAAGAACACCCGUGGCGAAGGCGGUCUUCUAGCUUACACCUGACGCUGAGGCGCGAAAGCGUGGGGAGCAAACAGGAUUAGAUACCCUGGUAGUCCACGCCGUAAACGAUGCAUACUUGGUGUAGCCGGACUCAACCCCGGCUGUGCCGGAGCUAACGUGUUAAGUAUGCCGCCUGGGGAGUACGCGCGCAAGCGUGAAACUCAAAAGAAUUGACGGGGACCCGCACAAGCAGUGGAGCAUGUGGUUUAAUUCGAUGCAACGCGAAGAACCUUACCCAGGCUUGACAUGCAGAGGACAUUAACAGAAAUGUUACCCCCCUUCGGGGCUUCUGCACAGGUGCUGCAUGGCUGUCGUCAGCUCGUGCCGUGAGGUGUUGGGUUAAGUCCCGCAACGAGCGCAACCCUUAUCACUAGUUGCCAACACUUAGGGUGGGAACUCUAGUGAGACUGCCUGGGUUAACCAGGAGGAGGGUGAGGAUGACGUCAUGUCCGCAUGGCCCUUAUGUGUGGGGCUACACACGUGCUACAUGGUCACGUACAGUAGGCAGCGAACCGUGAGGUGAAGCACGUCGCCUAAAGCCGGCCCCAGUUCAGAUUGUAGUCUGCAACUCGACUACAUGAAGUUGGAAUUGCUAGUAAUGGGAGUCAGCAACAUCGCCGUGAAUACGUUCCCGGGUCUUGUACACACCGCCCGUCACAUCAUGGGAGUUGGUUUUACCCGAAUCCGCUGACUCAACCG